UACGAAGGGGGCUAGCGUUGCUCGGAAUCACUGGGCGUAAAGCGCACGUAGGCGGAUUGCUAAGUCAGGGGUGAAAUCCUGGAGCUCAACUCCAGAACUGCCUUUGAUACUGGCGAUCUUGAGUCCGGGAGAGGUGAGUGGAACUGCGAGUGUAGAGGUGAAAUUCGUAGAUAUUCGCAAGAACACCAGUGGCGAAGGCGGCUCACUGGCCCGGUGCUGACGCUGAGGUGCGGAAGCGUGGGGAGCAAACAGG
rnacentral:rRNA from 1 species